UGCAUCGAAACGUCACAAACCAGACACGGUUUACGUACAGAUACAGAAAUUAGGACCAAGAGAAACUUUCGGUGUUGAACAAGUUGCCUUUGGUCGCAUUGGGAAAACUACCAGCACUAUUCUGGUUUCUGAUGGAGCAGAAUGCAUCUUAAUCAAUAGGAAGUUUUUCCAACAAUAUUUAACUGAUGAAGAGGCAAAAAGAAUACGGAGAACGCUUCAACCAAUACCUUCUGAGGAAAGCCUGCAGCGGAAAUUACAGGACAGCACAAAUUGGGAAGCAUACAAAGCGCUCACUGUAGUCAACCACAAGGUUCACCAGAAAACCCACAAUGACGCCCACUUCU